UACAGAAGGGGCAAGCGUUGUUCGGAAUUAUCGUGGCGUAAAGGGCGCGUAGGCGGCCUGUUAAGUCGAAACGUGAAAUCCCUGGGCUCAACCCAGGAACUGCGUCCGAUAACUGGCAGGCUUGAGUCCGGAAGGGGCGAGUGGGAAUUCCGUGGUGUAGCGGUGAAAUGACGCAGAUAUCAGGAGGAACACCAAUGGCGAAGGCAGCUCGCUGGAACGGUACUGACGCUGAGGCGACGAAAGCGUGGGGAGCAACAGG
rnacentral:rRNA from 1 species